CCCUGUAGCCAGCAACCAAACAGAUGAACAGACUGAUCCAUCCUUCACGGAGAGAGCAGGAGCAGUUCUGGGGACCUGGGACAGCCCAGCCCAACCCUGUACUAUAAGGCUGCAAUGAGAUGUCCCCAAAGACUUCACCAGGAUGAAGAACUCCAGCUGUCUCCCCCUGUCUUCAUAGGAGAGGUGUUCCAGACCUGUGAUCAUAGAGGCCCUCCUCUGUACUCACUCCAGCAGGUCCAUGUCCUUCCUGUUGUGGAGACCCCAGAUCUGGAUGCAAUAACCUCAGAUCUAGAGAGAUAUUUAGAAGCCUGUUUCUCACUGCAAUCAACUAAAAUUUUGAUGCUUUGUGAAUUUGAAUGAAGAUAAGUCAAACUGACUUGCCAAGGGUGACAUUUAAAAUUUGUG